CUGCAUACAGCCUAAUCAGCUUGCCUAGGCACUCUUGAGAGCCAAGAACGAGCUUGGUUCGUAAGCCGAUGUGGGCUUGUAGCUCGUGCAAACUGGCAAGUGGCUCGUUUCGCAUAACUUCUGGCGAUUCGGUGAGCAGCUCGCCCCCACUUCCCACUCCUAGCAGCUGUUGCUAUGCUUGCUGCUUCUUCACUCCAUGUGCCUUUGCAAAUUAUUGAGGUAAUGAAUUCCUCCAUCAUCAAACAGUUAAGCCGAGAAAAGUUUAUCAUGUCUUUUGACUUGAUUUUACUUAUUUUAGCUGUUUAUUCGGUGAAUUUGAUUACACCUUUUAACAAAAUUUUAGAAUUGAAUUGAUGCACGUGCUCGUGUAAAUGCAGCAACCAGAUCUUCUACCUUAAAUUAUUCCUCAUUUAGUGGGAUUGAUAGUUUGUUUUAUUUGAGGAAUCAUGUUUUCUUCCCUGUUGCCGAAACUUGAGAUGUGUUGACAGCAUAGAUUAUUGCAUUUUGGGUAACCAUACGUCACCUCUCUAAAAUAAUUCAGUCAGUUCCAGCCAAUCUUCUCACUCAUUAUCCAAAUCUCAAGCUUUUGGUUAUUCAAAGAUUAGAAGCAGAACGCAAAGCCAUUUUAUUGAGAUGAGACUCCAAAAUCACAUUGGUGAACUGAAGAUUCUUAAAUUAAAAGUACAUUCUAAAUGUGUCUCAAAACAGCUGUGAGAUGGACACUUUCUGUCUGAAAAAAAAGAAUGAACUCCAUUAGCUUCUACAAGGAAGUAGGGAAGAUCCCUUUUAUAUAUGCAACUAUAUUUUAGCGACCGGGGGCGAUUCCUCCAUACUUAUGCCAGCUACAAAUCUGAUGAUCCGUACUUGUUCUCUUUAAAACGGGUUUUUCAAGAUAUGUUUUCAAGACUUGAUGUUUUUAAAUAGUAGAGCAAUUUCCUUUCAUGUGGCACUAGCAAGCCUAAAAUUCCUAAUAAUAAACAAAAAUCCCUCACACAAUCAGUUACAAAAGCUUUUAGAAAUGGUAAAUUCUUCAGCUUUGUCUCUUUUUAGUAUUCUUCUUCAAUCAUGGGUUAUGUAUUCAUCUAUUAGAAGACAACACUGCAUUCCAUAGUAGAACAAAAAAUGCACAAGGCCAGAGUCGGGAAUUAAACUAGCUUUGCUAAGUUUCAGAUUGAAACCUUCCAUGUUGCUUGUCAAUUGUCAUGCAUGGUUUUAUUUCUUUCUUAAACUUUUCAUUCUCAGUAUCUUCUCAGUUUCGAUAGAGAAUCUAAGGAUUUGUAGCUCGAAAAAAUUCUGUUUUCUAUGUGAUACUACCAAUAUUGGAUAUCCAGAGGAGUGUUUCCCUGAGGACUCCCUACAUGCUCCACCUCUAUUUUCUGACAAGAAGUCCUCAAGAUAUGUUGGUCCUCGAGCAUAGUAGCCCGAGGACUUUGCUCAUACGACCAUGAGACUCGCCUCUUGGUGUCCUCGGGUCACUGUUCAUUAUGAUAUCCUCGAGAUAUAUAUGUUCAACCCACAUAUGCCUAAACCCCCAAAGACUCUAUGUCAACUCUAAUACCAACAGUCGUAUAGUUCUAUUGCAAGUAGGACAUUCCUCUCAAGCAGGACUAUAUUGGAAAGGAACGUCCAGAUAGUCCAGUCCUAUAAGGAUUAAACUACCCACCACUACAAUAAAUAUAGACCCUCAAACCAUUAAUCAGGUACAUUCUACACAAUUUUCAGCAUACAUAUUUCUUUUCAAUCCUCUUUCUGACUCAAGCAUCAGAGGGUCGACGAGAACACAUCUCGUUGCCUUUGUUUUAGGUAUCGGAAGACCGCGUUCGUGCUUGCUAUCAAUCCUCAUCCACGAGAUCUACAAGGUACAAUUUUUGGUAGCAUCACUAUGAAUUCGGUAUUUUUUUUUCAGUAUUUUCUCUUAAUGAAUUGAAAUGCAGAAAAAGAGGAGCUACAUAAUACUAAAAAUAAAAAAAUGGAGAUGAACAGGUCUUCUGUCACCCUUCGUUGUUCUAGCGACGACUUGUUAACCAUGGCAAGGAUCUAAGAUUCACAUAAAAUAAAUUUUCCCUUCCCAGAUCCCACCAAACAUCAAAGAAUCAGCCAGUCAUGCCGUCGAAUUGAGGUGAUGGGUUACUCAAUUUAGUUGCGUCUACGGUUUCGAUUGUGCCUCUGCGUUAGCCGCAGAGAACUUCCCACCACAAGCAAUGACACACCAGACUGCCCAGUGCCUAUGCUUUAUCCACCACAGACGGCGAGAUCAAAUUGCUGCGCUGCAAGAUCAAGAGAAGGACCAAAAUUAAGAUUCUCAAGUCACAGAAGCAGAAAUAGAACUCUAUACAACUUGAAAUGUCCUCACAGAAAUUGCUCUUAUUCUGACUGUUGAAAAGAAUAAAGACAAGUACUUAGUUUUUACGUCUAACUAUUAAUUUGUGUUAUUUCUUUCAUAUUAUCACCGUGUCUUUCUUGUUGUUGAUACCGCCAAG
rnacentral:lncRNA from 1 species